UAUUAAAAGGAAUCAUCUAGAAAUAUCAUUUGUGGACAGGUCUUACUACAUUUAAAAGGAAACGAUAGACAUACUCUUCCAGCAGUGCAACUCCAAUACAUAUACAACUGUGAUCUGCAUCUGUUACCAUGAAACAUUUAUUGAGUUGUCUAAUCAUUUUUGUGACUGUUUAUGACAUCGAUGCAUCAUUAUGCACAACUGCCAACAAGGAAAAGGUUGGGCGUGUUGUGUUUGGUGAAGCAAGUGGGGAAUCAGCCAAUGGACAACUAGAGGUUGCAUAUACGAUUGUGAACAGAAUAAAUCAUGCUGGAUUCCCAAAUUCGCUAAAUGGAGUUGUAGAGCAGACAUAUACAUCGGGAGGUAAAACGUAUCAUCAUUAUAACACAUUAGAUAAUUCUGGUCAUGACCAAAGAUGGACAGCAGCGAAAAAAACAGGUGCAAAAGAGCAUGCAGCGUAUAAUUCCGCAAUAACUCAAGCCGGGCAUGCACUUUGUGCGACAAAGUCUGAUCCUAUGAGUUGCGGCCCGGUCAAUUUUUGUGCCAUAAAUCCGUGUGCCUCUACGAACAGUAAUACGUAUUGGUGUGUGACCGAGAAAAAACAGAUCGGAUCUCAUUGGUUUACCUGCAUCAAGAAAAAAACAGGAAAAUGCUGAACUUUGAAACUUAAAAUUUUAAAUGUGAGAUAAGUAAGAAAAAAAAAACAAACAAAAACUGAUCUCACGCAAAGCCAUGCAUUUAUCAUUGAUCAUUAUGAAGAUGAUCACAUAUCACUUUCUAUGUAAAUCAGAUAUCAAUAUAUUUGUUUAAUAAAAAAGGUUUAUUCUG